rnacentral:miRNA from 1 species
UAAGGUGACCAGCCACCCUGGUUUGCCUGGGACUGAGGGCUUUCCCAGGAUAUGAGACUUUCAGCGCUAAAACUUCGACAGGC